ensembl:snoRNA
CCAUGGGCCUCUCAAAGUGUCCCAUGCCAGAGCAAACUGGCCCCGAACCAUUGCCCAGCCUCUUCUCCAUAGGUUGUUGGCACUGAAGCGGGUUGCACAGUU